rnacentral:misc_RNA from 1 species
AAGUCGUAACAAGGUUUCCGUAGGUGAACCUGCGGAAGGAUCAUUUUUGAAUCACAGGCUGUUGCUGGCCCUCCUUGGAGGGUAUUGUGCACGCUUGUCAUAUUUAUUUCUCCAACUGUGCACAUACUGUAGACCUGGUGUCUUUGAAUAUAUUCAGAUUGAGGACUGAUGUGCUUCUGCUUUGGAGCCCAGCUUUGCCUUGCAGGUCUAUGUUUUUUUCUACAAACCCUAAAACUGUUUCAGAAUGUUGGAUCCAGGUCAUUUGUACCUAUAAAGUUAAAUAUACAACUUUCAGCAACGGAUCUCUUGGCUCUC